GCGGGUAUAGUUUAGUGGUAAAACCUUA
rnacentral:tRNA from 1 species